ACGCCGCGUGAGGGAUGACGGCCUUCGGGUUGUAAACCUCUUUCAGUAGGGAAGAAGCGUAAGUGACGGUACCUGCAGAAGAAGCGCCGGCUAACAACGUGCCAGCAGCCGCGGUAAUACGUAGGGCGCAAGCGUUAUCCGGAAUUAUUGGGCGUAAAGAGCUCUAGGCGGUUUGUCGCGUCUGCUGUGAAAGACCGGGGCUCAACUCCGGUUCUGCAGUGGGUACGGGCAGACUAGAGUGCAGUAGGGGAGACUGGAAUUCCUGGUGUAGCGGUGAAAUGCGCAGAUAUCAGGAGGAACACCGAUGGCGAAGGCAGGUCUCUGGGCUGUAACUGACGCUGAGGAGCGAAAGCAUGGGGAGCGAACAGGAUUAGAUACCCUGGUAGUCCAUGCCGUAACCGUUGGGCCC
rnacentral:rRNA from 1 species